UUACAGUUACUAUUAAUAGUAAAACUUCCCUAAAUAUCACAAUAGAUCAAUUCAAAAGGUGAAGUACUUUUUAUAUGACUUGAAGAAAAAGAAGUUUAUGUAUGUUCCCCCAAAGAGCAUACAUCACAAAUUCUUUUAUUGGAAAAAGAAACUUCAAGAGCUAAAGCAGAAAUAGAACUUGAGCGGUUGGUAGCAGAAUGACCCAACACCAAUGCCAAAUAUCAAAUGAGGCUUCACAUUUGCAUAAAGGUUUGUUGAAUGUUGCAAGUGAUAAUGACCAUUCCAACAUUUACCCACUCCAAUCGUUUUCUUUAUGAUGAGGUCCUGAAAUACACAAGUGUUAAGGAAAAAUUUCACUGAGCAAUUAAGGACUUUUGUGAUCUGUGAUACUAACAUCAAAAUGAACUUAAAAGAUGGUAUGAGUAAAAUAUUAUCAAGAUGGAGAUAAGAAUUAAUGGAAGUAGCACCAAUUCUGGUUAUCUGUGCAGUAGAGCCAUCAACCAUUUUAACGCUUGAGAGAGAAGUGUUUGGUGAUAAAGACUGAAACCGUUGAGGUGAGGAGCACAAAUGAUUUGUGGCUCCACUAUCAAUUAUCCAAUUAUCAUCAAGAGAAGAACUAAGGGCAGUACCUGCAAAAUUAGUGAGGGGAUCAUUUAUACCUCGUUGUAGUAUUGCAAGGAUUUAAUC
rnacentral:lncRNA from 1 species